AGCGAACGCUGGCGGUAUGCCUAACACAUGCAAGUCGAACGGCAGCACAGUAAGAGCUUGCUCUUACGGGUGGCGAGUGGCGGACGGGUGAGGAAUACAUCGUAAUCUACUUUUUCGUGGGGGAUAACGUAGGGAAACUUACGCUAAUACCGCAUACGACCUACGGGUGAAAGCAGGGGAUCUUCGGGCCUUGCGCGAAUGCAUGAGCCGAGGUCGGAUUGGUUAGUUGGCGGGUUAAAGGCCCACCAAGGCGACGGUCGGUAGCUGGUCGGGGUGGAGGGUCGGCCACACGGGACCGGGGACAGGGUCAAAACUCCUACGGGAGGAAGCAGAGGGGAAUAUUGGACAAUGGGCGCAAGCCUGAUCCAGCCCGACGGCGGGGGUGAAGAAGGCCUCCGGGUUGUAAAGCCCGUUUGUUGGGAAAGAAAAGCAGCAGGUUAAUACCCCGCUGUACUGACGGUACCCAAAGAAUAAGCACCGGCUAACUACGUG
rnacentral:rRNA from 1 species